rnacentral:rRNA from 1 species
CAAACCAAAGCUGGCGACCGGCGCACGGGUGAGUAACACGUAUCCAACCUGCCUCAUACUCGGGGAUAGCCUUUCGAAAGAAAGAUUAAUAUCCGAUAGCAUAUAUUUCCCGCAUGGGUUUUAUAUUAAAGAAAUUCGGUAUGAGAUGGGGAUGCGUUCCAUUAGUUUGUUGGGGGGGUAACGGCCCACCAAGACUACGAUGGAUAGGGGUUCUGAGAGGAAGGUCCCCCACAUUGGAACUGAGACACGGACCAA